rnacentral:rRNA from 1 species
AUUGAACGCUGGCGGCAUGCCUUACACAUGCAAGUCGAACGGUAACGGGCCUUCGGGUGCCGACGAGUGGCGAACGGGUGAGUAAUACAUCGGAACGUGCCCGAUCGUGGGGGAUAACGAGGCGAAAGCUUUGCUAAUACCGCAUAUGAUCUACGGUUGAAAGCAGGGGACCGCAAGGCCUUGCGCGGACGGUGCGGCCGAUGGCAGAUUAGGUAGUUGGUGGGAUAAAAGCUUACCAAGCCGACGAUCUGUAGCUGGUCUGAGAGGAUGAUCGGCCACACUGGGACUGGGACACGGCCCAGACUCCUACGGGAGGCAGCAGUGGGGAAUUUUGGGCAAUGGGCGCAAGCCUGAUCCAGCCAUGCCGCGUGCGGGAUGAAGGCCUUCGGGUUGUAAACUGCUUUUGUACGGAACGAAAAGCCUUCUUUUAAUACAGGAGGGUCAUGACGGUACCGUAAGAAUAAGCACCGGCUAACUACGUG